rnacentral:lncRNA from 1 species
AUGUGGGAGACAUGGGUCCUCUUCUUACUAUUUUAUCCUAAAGGAAGGGCCAAGAGAUAUAAAAAUGUCAAACUCCAGGAGUUUCUACAUGUUCUCAUCAGUGUGGUGAGAGGUGAGCCAAGACUGAUGGCACAGUCCGCCUCAGGUCUGCAUUUAUGUAUAGAGCACAAAAUGGUAGAUGGAUUGAUGGAUAAGAUCAGAAUUCAUAAUAAUGGGAAAGAGAAAUGGAUUGAGAAUCAGAAAGCCUGGGCACUUUUAGCUGAGAAAAAAAGACAAUUGCCUACAUAGAAUCCAGAGUUUCAUCUUCCACUCAAUUCAGUAACUCAAAGGGAGUAAAAGCCAAGAAUGAGCUUCGAUCUCCAGAUUAAUUCACUUAGUAGACUCUGAUUUUGUGUGGUUCCCCAAAAGGUAAGUAUGAGUACUUUUUUUUUUCAAAAAGUCUCUUUGAACAUUCCGCUGUGUCUUUUACGCCUUCUUCCUGCAGCAUUAGCCAUUCCACACAUGAUUGCCCAAGGGCAAAGACACAUUUUGAAUAGCCUUUCUAUUUCUCAAGCACACACUUGCAUGCUCGCUCUUUCCCUUUUAAUCUCUUUGUCUCUUCCCAACACACAAUUAAUACUUAACAGGUGAUGGCUGGUGUUUCCCUAACAAAAUUGAGGACUCCAAGCCUUCAUCCCCUACUUAAGAUGAAUGGUGAUAGCACACAUGACAAUCCUCCUGGGUAAGAACCUCACUUUGGGCAUCUGAGCAUUCCUCUCCUAAAGAAAUUACGAUACUCUCCUUUCUUCCCUGUAGCUCAAAUGGUAAAGAGUCUGCCUGUAAUACAGGAGACCCGGGUUCGAUCCCUGGGUCGGAAAGAUCCUCUGGAGAAGGGAAUGACAAUCCACUUUAGUAUUCUUGCCUGGAGAAUGCCAUGGACAGAAAAGCCUGGAGGGCUAUAGUUUGUGGGGUUGCAAAGAAUCAGACACAACUGAACGACUUAACACUUCAUUUCACUUCCUUUCUUCAGCUAUCCUUGGGCAGUGAUUUUCAUAUUGCAGGUCCUAAAAUCAAUGCAAUGGCUCAUGACUAGCAUUAAACAAACAAAAAACAGUGAAAUAGAAUUUAAAAUAUCAAAAUAUGCUGCAUACAUUAAAACAAAUAUGAGAGUGUUGUUUAGUCAUGCCUACUUGUAUACACUUGUGUUGGGUUACAAUGUUAAAAUACAUUUCUUAUUAUGGAUCACCUUAAAGUUCUGAAGUCAUUGAACUCAGGUUAUUGAGAGGCAAAUUCUUCAAUUCACAGCCACAUUUUUGAAGGCUUGGCCUUGUGCUUUGGUUGACCAGGUGCUCUGUUAGACUUGAAGGUCCUUGCCUAUCCAUGUUUCCAAUUUCUUAAAAACAUUUACAUUGCUAAUUCAGUGCUCCCAAGUGCUGCUCUCCUCCCACCAGGUAAUCCUUCUUCCAAGUGACAUUCCAGGGCUCAGAAAGGGAUUACCUAGAGAGCCAUUCUAGAGAGCCUAGCCAUUACCUAGAGAGCCUAGACUUUGGAUUCUGCUAUCUAGGAAACUGUUCAGGGGUGAACCUGGGACUGAUCUCAUAGAAAGACUUCUGUUCCUUCCUUUCCCUCUGGCACACCCUUUCAUACCUCCAGUUCUAGACCCACCAAGCCAUGGCUAGGAGAUCUUGGAAAUGGCAGCUGUGAGGGGAUUAUUACUGCAGUCCCAGGGCAGAGAACACUCCAGAGGAUUUUUGUAAUAUCUUCCUUUCUGUCUACUGACUUUUUGAAAGGUGCAUGACAUCCCAUCAUUUCAAGCCCAAGAAAUAAUUUAAACUUAAAAGUAUCAGUGAUUCGACAAAAUUCUACCAAAUAAUCAAACAUUCUCUCCACAUUUCUUGAGCAACAGUUUUCUGUGUCAGAAACUCCAGCAGGAGGCAGUCACUAGGCUGGAUAUACCAUAGGAAAGAAAACACAACCUCAGACCCUCAACUCUACGGCAAAAGACAGCUGUCCUAAGAAAUCGUUAUGAUACUUGUUUUCAUAGACAUGGGAAUAAAAUGCUGUCAUUUCUCA